rnacentral:sRNA from 1 species
UCUUUGAUGAUUUAGUCCUUACUCAUUCAAAUGGUAAUUGUUUUUGUAUUUUUUUUUGGUAAAA